rnacentral:rRNA from 1 species
GCGCGAGAGAGCUUGCUCUCUUGGCGGCGAGUGGCGGACGGGUGAGUAAUAUAUCGGAACGUGCCCAGUAGCGGGGGAUAACUACUCGAAAGAGUGGCUAAUACCGCAUACGCCCUACGGGGGAAAGGGGGGGAUCGCAAGACCUCUCACUAUUGGAGCGGCCGAUAUCGGAUUAGCUAGUUGGUGGGGUAAAGGCUCACCAAGGCAACGAUCCGUAGCUGGUUUGAGAGGACGACCAGCCACACUGGGACUGAGACACGGCCCAGACUCCUACGGGAGGCAGCAGUGGGGAAUUUUGGACAAUGGGGGAAACCCUGAUCCAGCCAUCCCGCGUGUAUGAUGAAGGCCUUCGGGUUGUAAAGUACUUUUGGCAGAGAAGAAAAGGUAUCCCCUAAUACGGGAUACUGCUGACGGUAUCUGCAGAAUAAGCACCGGCUAACUACGUGCCAGCAGCCGCGGUAAUACGUAGGGUGCAAGCGUU